AACGGUACAGGAAGCACUUGCGUGCUAUGCUGACGAGUGGCGGACGGGUGAGUAAUGUCUGGUGAAACUGCCUGAUGGAGGGGGAUAACUACUGGAAACGGUAGCUAAUACCGCAUAACGUCGCAAGACCAAAGAGGGGGACCUUCGGGCCUCUUGCCAUCGGAUGUGCCCAGAUGGGAUUAGCUAGUACGGUGGGGUAACGGCUCACCUAGGCGACGAUCCCUAGCUGGUCUGAGAGGAUGACCAGCCACACUGGAACUGAGACACGGUCCAGACUCCUACGGGAGGCAGCAGUGGGGAAUAUUGCACAAUGGGCGCAAGCCUGAUGCAGCCAUGCCGCGUGUAUGAAGAAGGCCUUCGGGUUGUCAAGUACUUUCAGCGGGGAGGAAGGCGUUGUGGUUAAUAACCACAGCGAUUGACGUUACCCGCAGAAGAAGCACCGGCUAACUCCGUGCCAGCAGACGCGGUAAUACGGAGGGUGCAGCGUUAAUCGGAAUUAAUGGGCGUAAAGGCACGCAGGCGGUCUGUCAAGUAGGAUGUGAAAUACCCGAGGCUCAACCAUGGGACACUGCAU
rnacentral:rRNA from 1 species